rnacentral:rRNA from 1 species
GAGACACACGGCGGGUGCUAACGUCCGUCGUGAAGAGGGAAACAACCCAGACCGCCAGCUAAGGUCCCAAAGUCAUGGUUAAGUGGGAAACGAUGUGGGAAGGCCCAGACAGCCAGGAUGUUGGCUUAGAAGCAGCCAUCAUUUAAAGAAAGCGUAAUAGCUCACUGGUCGAGUCGGCCUGCGCGGAAGAUGUAACGGGGCUAAACCAUGCACCGAAGCUGCGGCAGCGAACGUAUCACUUAAAGCGAUUCAGCGGGUUACGAUUGACGGAGCGAAGCGACGUCAAAGCGUAUACAAAGUCGAGUCGGUUUAAGGAUACGUUCGUUGGGUAGGGGAGCGUUCUGUAAGCCCGUGAAGGUGGCCUGUGAGGGUUGCUGGAGGUAUCAGAAGUGCGAAUGCUGACAUAAGUAACGAUAAAGCGGGUGAAAAGCCCGCUCGCCGGAAGACCAAGGGUUCCUGUCCAACGUUAAUCGGGGCAGGGUGAGUCGACCCCUAAGGCGAGGCCGAAAGGCGUAGUCGAUGGGAAACGGGUUAAUAUUCCCGUACUUGGUGUUACUGCGAAGGGGGGACGGAGAAGGCUAUGUUGGCCGGGCGACGGUUGUCCCGGUUUAAGCGUGUAGGUGUGUGUUCCAGGUAAAUCCGGUUCACUUUAACACUGAGGCGUGAUGACGAGGCACUACGGUGCUGAAGCAACAAAUGCCCUGCUUCCAGGAAAAGCCUCUAAGCAUCAGGUAACAUCAAAUCGUACCCCAAACCGACACAGGUGGUCAGGUAGAGAAUACCAAGGCGCUUGAGAGAACUCGGGUGAAGGAACUAGGCAAAAUGGUGCCGUAACUUCGGGAGAAGGCACGCUGACACGUAGGUGAAGUGAUUUACUCACGGAGCUGAAGUCAGUCGAAGAUACCAGCUGGCUGCAACUGUUUAUUAAAAACACAGCACUGUGCAAACACGAAAGUGGACGUAUACGGUGUGACGCCUGCCCGGUGCCGGAAGGUUAAUUGAUGGGGUCAGCGCAAGCGAAGCUCCUGAUCGAAGCCCCGGUAAACGGCGGCCGUAACUAUAACGGUCCUAAGGUAGCGAAAUUCCUUGUCGGGUAAGUUCCGACCUGCACGAAUGGCGUAAUGAUGGCC